rnacentral:rRNA from 1 species
CCUACGGGAGGCAGCAGUGAGGAAUAUUGGUCAAUGGGCGCGAGCCUGAACCAGCCAAGUAGCGUGAAGGAUGACUGCCCUACGGGUUGUAAACUUCUUUUAUAAAGGAAUAAAGUGAGGCACGUGUGCCUUUUUGUAUGUACUUUAUGAAUAAGGAUCGGCUAACUCCGUGCCAGCAGCCGCGGUAAUCCGGAGGAUCCGAGCGUUAUCCGGAUUUCUUGGGUUUAAAGGGGGCGUAGAUGGGUUGUUAAGUCAGUUGUGAAAGUUUGCGGCUCAACCGUAAAAUUGCAAUUGAUACUGGCAGCCUUGAGUACAGUUGAGGUAGGCGGAAUUCGUGGUGUAGCGGUGAAAUGCUUAGAUAUCACGAAGAACUCCGAUUGCGAAGGCAGCUUACUAAACUGCCACUGACGCUGAGGCACGAAAGCGUGGGUAUCGAACAGGAUUAGAUACCCGAGUAGAC